GCUGGUGAAGGUCGGCGUCGUGGAGCAGAACUUCCUGUCCACCUCAGUCGACUCUGAUGACAUCACACUGGGAUCUCCUCCCUCACAGUCAGCCGCACCAAUCAGCAUCGCCUCCACACCUCCCCCCUCCCCCUCCAUGAGCUGUCCAGGGGAGGUGAUGGGUCUGCAGGUGGACUACUGGAGCAGUCAGGUUGGAGGAGCUGGAGGAGGAGGUGGAGGAGGAGAGAGGAGGAAGGAGGUGGGGAUGAAGAACACACUGAAGAGCAACUUCCGAAGUCUUCAGGUGUCGAGGAUCAGCGGAGGAGAACUGAUGAGCAUGACGGUGGUGACAAAGGAGAAGAACA